GCCCUCGUGGCCUAACGGAUAAGGUGUCGAUCUCCUAAAUCGGGGAUUGCGGGUUCGAAUCCCACCGAGGUUA
rnacentral:tRNA from 13 species